rnacentral:rRNA from 1 species
CGAUGUAGCAAUACAUUGGUGGCGACCGGCGCACGGGUGAGUAACGCGUAUGCAACCUACCUAUCAGAGGGGAAUAACCCGGCGAAAGUCGGACUAAUACCGCAUAAAACAGGGGUUCCACAUGGAAAUAUUUGUUAAAGAAUUAUCGCUGAUAGAUGGGCAUGCGUUCCAUUAGAUAGUUGGUGAGGUAACGGCUCACCAAGUCCACGAUGGAUAGGGGUUCUGAGAGGAAGGUCCCCCACACUGGUACUGAGACACGGACCAGACUCCUACGGGAGGCAGCAGUGAGGAAUAUUGGUCAAUGGGCGAGAGCCUGAACCAGCCAAGUCGCGUGAAGGAUGAAGGAUCUAUGGUUUGUAAACUUCUUUUAUAUGGGAAUAAAGUGAGGAACGUGUUCCUUUUUGUAUGUACCAUAUGAAUAAGCAUCGGCUAACUCCGUGCCAGCAGCCGCGGUAAUACGGAGGAUGCGAGCGUUAUCCGGAUUUAUUGGGUUUAAAGGGUGCGUAGGUGGUUAAUUAAGUCAGCGGUGAAAGUUUGUGGCUCAACCAUAAAAUUGCCGUUGAAACUGGUUGACUUGAGUAUAUUUGAGGUAGGCGGAAUGCGUGGUGUAGCGGUGAAAUGCAUAGAUAUCACGCAGAACUCCGAUUGCGAAGGCAGCUUACUAAACUUAUAACUGACACUGAA